CCACUGUGUCAGUGUGUGAUCGCCGAGUGGUCGACGUCUAUGGCGCCAGUCUAGCCUGUCUGUUGAUCGCCGCUGUAUGACGACUGCACCCUCGAUCUUUGAAGAAACUUUAGGAGCGAAGACAUCUGCGAAGACAUAUAUACGUGACACACGUAUAGACCAGGAAUGAUCCGACCAACUCAGCAGUGCCAUCGUCACAUAAGCUACGUAAACAUCAGCUACACGAGAUAACAAGUGACGUCAUCACACGCGAGUCGUCAACAAGUUGCACUGCUGCGCGUAUAGUUUUCUUUGGUUUCGACGAUGCCUAUUCAGAGCACUGGCAGGUUUGCUGGUUACAAUAAGAGCGUCGUAGCAGCGCUCGGUAUCAGUGCACUGGUGAUGACAGCUAUCUGGUGCAAAGAGUACAGUGUAUUCAGGAGGCACCAGAGACUCAAACAAAGUAUUGGCGAGCAGAAUGAAGACGCGAAACAAAGAAUUCUGAGGGGAGAAAAAUGAUUUGGAUCUAUUGUCCAUCUAGUAGUAGGCCUACUGAUCUGUGCCGUAUGGUUGCUUAAUUAAAAAAACAACGUAAUUUAAACAAAUAUAUAGAUAUAUAAAUUAACGUUAGAAAACAUUGAAAAAUAUUUCCAAAACAUUACACAUUGGUGAAAUAAAGGAAAUGUGAAUAGAUUUUCUGGAAAAACAGAAUGCUAAAGAUAUUCUUGGUAAAAUUUGACAUUAUACGAAUUAAAUUGUAAUAAAAGUACAUAUGUACAUGUUUGGUUUGUACAUAUUUGGAUGUACAUGUUUGUACUUGAUCAAUGCAUGGCUAUUAGUUGGAUGGAAAAAAUAAAGUAUGCAAAGUGAUGUUCAU